GAUGAACGCUGGCGGCGUGCCUAAUACAUGCAAGUCGAGCGAACAGACGAGGAGCUUGCUCCUUUGACGUUAGCGGCGGACGGGUGAGUAACACGUAGGUAACCUACCUAUAAGACUGGGAUAACUUCGGGAAACCGGAGCUAAUACCGGAUAAUAUUUCGAACCGCAUGGUUCGAUAGUGAAAGAUGGCUUUGCUAUCACUUAUAGAUGGACCUGCGCCGUAUUAGCUAGUUGGUAAGGUAACGGCUUACCAAGGCAGCGAUACGUAGCCGACCUGAGAGGGUGAUCGGCCACACUGGAACUGAGACACGGUCCAGACUCCUACGGGAGGCAGCAGUAGGGAAUCUUCCGCAAUGGGCGAAAGCCUGACGGAGCAACGCCGCGUGAGUGAUGAAGGUCUUCGGAUCGUAAAACUCUGUUAUUAGGGAAGAACAAACGUGUAAGUAACUGUGCACGUCUUGACGGUACCUAAUCAGAAAGCCACGGCUAACUACGUG
rnacentral:rRNA from 1 species